CCUGAAGGAACGUUGAAGACGACGACGUUGAUAGGCCGGGUGUGUAAGCGCAGCGAUGCGUUGAGCUAACCGGUACUAAUGAACCGUGAGGCUUAACCUUACAACGCCGAAG
rnacentral:rRNA from 15 species